CCUACGGGAGGCAGCAGUGGGGAAUAUUGCGCAAUGGGCGAAAGCCUGACGCAGCGACGCCGCGUGAGGGAUGAAGGUCUUCGGAUCGUAAACCUCUGUCAGCAGGGAAGAACGGUCACUGUGCUAAUCAGCAGUGAAUUGACGGUACCUGCAAAGGAAGCACCGGCUAACUCCGUGCCAGCAGCCGCGGUAAUACGGAGGGGGCGAGCGUUAAUCGGAAUUACUGGGCGUAAAGCGCUCGUAGGCGGUAUGUCAAGUCAAGGGUGAAAUCCCCGCGCUCAACGUGGGAACUGCCUUUGAAACUGGCAGACUGGAGUGUGUGAGAGGAUAGUGGAAUUCCAGGUGGAGGAGUGAAAUCCGUAGAUAUCUGGAGGAACAUCAGUGGCGAAGGCGACUAUCUGGCACAUAACUGACGCUGAGGAGCGAAAGCGUGGGUAGCAAACAGGAUUAGAUACCCGAGUAGUC
rnacentral:rRNA from 1 species